rnacentral:rRNA from 1 species
GACGAACGCUGGCGGCGUGCUUAACACAUGCAAGUCGAACGGAAAGGCCCCUUUGGGGGUCCUCGAGUGGCGAACGGGUGAGUAACACGUGAGUAACCUGCCCUUGACUUCGGGAUAACUUCAGGAAACUGGGGCUAAUACCGGAUAGGAAUCCUUGCUGCAUGGUGGGGGUUGGAAAGCUUCGGCGGUUUUGGAUGGACUCGCGGCUUAUCAGCUUGUUGGUGGGGUAGUGGCUUACCAAGGCUUUGACGGGUAGCCGGCCUGAGAGGGCGACCGGCCACAUUGGGACUGAGAUACGGCCCAGACUCCUACGGGAGGCAGCAGUGGGGAAUAUUGCACAAUGGGCGGAAGCCUGAUGCAGCAACGCCGCGUGCGGGAUGACGGCCUUCGGGUUGUAAACCGCUUUCAGCAGGGGCGAAGCUUGUGGUGACGGUACCUGCAGAAGAAGCACCGGCUAGCUACGUG